GCUGUGGUGGGCUCCACCCAGUUCGAGCUUCCCAGCUGCUUUGUUUAUCUAAGCAAGCCUGGGCAAUGGUGGGCGCCCCUCCUCCAGCCUCGCUGCCGCCUUGCAGUUUGAUCUCAGACUGCUGUGCUAGCAAUCAGUGGGACUCCGUGGGCGUAGGACCCUCCGAGCCAGGUGUGGGAUAUAAUCUUGUGGUGCGCCAUUUUUUAAGCCUGUCGGAAAAGCGCAGUAUUGGGGUGGGAGUGACGCGAUUUUCUUGGAGCCGUCCGUCACCCCUUUCUUUGACUAGGAAAGGGAACUCCCUGACCCCUUGCGCUUCCCGAGUGAGGCAAUGCCUCGCCCUGCUUCGGCUGGCGCACGGUGGGCACACCCACUGACCUGCGCCCACUGUCUGGCACUCCCUAGUGAGAUGAACCCGUUACCUCAGAUGGAAAUGCAGAAAUCACCCGUCUUCUGAGUCGCUCACGCUGGGAGCUGUAGACCGGAGCUGUUCCUAUUUGGCCAUCUUGGCUCCUCAAAUAAGUUGUCUGUUUCUUUGAAAUCUCCCAAGGGGUUUGUGAAGGUACAUUUCAGAAGAUUUCGAAGUCCUGAGCGCUUAGCCGUGCAGGAACAAUGUUAUGAAGACCAGAAAUCUAAAAUAAAGGUGUUGGCAAGACCAUGUCCUCUCUGCAGCCUCUUGGGAAGAAUCCUUCCUUGCCUCCUCCUCUUCUGGUGGUUCUCAUUAUUCCUUGGCUUAUGGCAGAAAGAGAUGCUCCAAAGGUCAGUGACUCAGACCACUAGGUGACUUGGCUGUGGUUUCCUAUGAGUCAAGCCUACCAGACAGCAGAGGACAGAGGUGAACAGGAAACUGGGCCAGAGAAAAACCAGAGAAACAGAGAGUCAACACAGACGUCAAGGAGGCUUCCGCCCAGCUCUCUCAGGCCAAAGGGGCAGACAAACCCGUGAACUCCCAGAUAUUCAUGUCCAAGUGAAUGCAGCUGUACGAACUUCAGCUUGAAAACUUCUCUCAAAUAGCAGGUGGGGAGAACAGGUAGUAAAUGCCUGGGGUUGUGGCCGCUUCCUUCCCCAGCAGAGCUCUGCCCCAAUGAGAACACAGGAAGGGUAGAUAAGAGAGCAAAGUGGGCAGUUUUUCUUAUUUAUUUGUUUGGGUAAAGGAAAAACAAAACAAGAUGUGAACACGCAUAUCUUCACAAACUGUAAAAUUUAUCUCUGUCCUCUAUUCCCUGCAUCCUUCUCCCUACUCUAACAUCUUAACAAUCCUAAUAUUUGCCUAUUGUUACACAAAAUGUACGCCAGUAGAUAUCAACAUACCAAUUAAAAAAAAACGAAAAAAAUACUUUGCUGUUUUUCCUUGAAAGCACAAUGACAUGAGGCAUCUUUGGAGAGAAGAAGCUG
rnacentral:lncRNA from 10 species